UACGAAGGGGGCUAGCGUUGCUCGGAAUUACUGGGCGUAAAGGGAGCGUAGGCGGGUCGUCAAGUUGGGGGUGAAAGCCCAGGGCUCAACCCUGGAACUGCCUUCAAAACUGGCGACCUAGAGUAUGGUAGAGGUGUGUGGAACUCCGAGUGUAGAGGUGAAAUUCGUAGAUAUUCGCAAGAACACCAGUGGCGAAGGCGGCUCACUGGCCCGGUACUGACGCUGAGGUGCGAAAGCGUGGGGAGCAAACAGG
rnacentral:rRNA from 1 species